rfam:Kluyvera intestini strain GT-16 tig00000000, whole genome shotgun sequence.
GGUAUUCCUUAUCUAUCUAAUACGUUGAGUUAUCUGGAACCUGUCCCAUUGCCCUCUUUGUUCUUCAUACCUCAGGUUGUCUCGUUGUUGGCUGCGCUUCCUCGCACCAGCCACAUAGUUCACUAUGCUGCUGGCGCCUCGCGCAUUUGCCGCCGCGAUACAACCCGAAUUAUUUUGAACAACUAAAAGAGCAAUAAGACAGGUUCUGCGUUUAAUUGCCGCGCUCUAAAUUUUU